rnacentral:lncRNA from 1 species
UUUAGUUUUUUCUGCGGCGGCACCACCGGGCUUUAUCUGUGGUUUCCAACUCAUCCGCUGGUCCUUUCGCUCCGAUUUGGUUAUGGGGGUGUUCAAAACCAAAUUUCGAACGAAUGAAGUUUUUUUUUACCUUUUUUGGCGGCCCGUAGGUGGUUCCGGCGCGGCGGCCGGCGGUGGUCGGCUCUCUUCUCCGGCGAUUGAUUCUUCAUCUCCAGUGGGGGGGACUGGUGGCUAGUGUUAGAGUUCGGUAUGAAGUGAGGUAUAUAUAUCCGGUUUUUUUUUAAUCUGGACCGUUCGUCACGUUUGAUCUUGACCGUCCGAUCGCGUUUAAAGAAAAAAUGAAUCUGGACCGUCCAUUGCAAUUUGAUCUAAAUCAUACAAUCGAGUUUAAAGAGAAAACGAAUUUGAACUGUUCAUCGCGUUUAAUCGCGACAGUUCGAUCG